UUUACUCCACCCUUGUGGAGAUUGUACAAACUUUUAUGUUAAGCAUGUUGUUCCUUUACAAAUUGUGCCAGGGAGGAAAAGGGAUUUUCUGAUCGUGUCCAUAUGAUAAUCAAUAAAUUUUUCAAAGAGUGACUAAAAAGAGUCUUUAACAUUCUUUACCAUUAGGACCAUGUCGAUAGUGUUCUCAGAGUAUUGGACCAUUCUUCCUCUCAAUAAUACUUCUAAC
rnacentral:lncRNA from 1 species